rnacentral:rRNA from 1 species
AGUGAACGCUGGCGGCAGGCCUAACACAUGCAAGUCGAACGGCAGCACAGCAGUAGCAAUACUGUGGGUGGCGAGUGGCGGACGGGUGAGGAAUACAUCGGAAUCUGCCUAGUCGUGGGGGAUAACGUAGGGAAACUUACGCUAAUACCGCAUACGACCUACGGGUGAAAGCGGGGGAUCGCAAGACCUCGCGCGAUUAGAUGAGCCGAUGUCCGAUUAGCUAGUUGGCGGGGUAAUGGCCCACCAAGGCGACGAUCGGUAGCUGGUCUGAGAGGAUGAUCAGCCACACUGGAACUGAGACACGGUCCAGACUCCUACGGGAGGCAGCAGUGGGGAAUAUUGGACAAUGGGCGCAAGCCUGAUCCAGCCAUGCCGCGU